GACGAACGCUGGCGGCGUGCCUAAUACAUGCAAGUAGAACGCUGAAGGAGGAGCUUGCUUCUCUGGAUGAGUUGCGAACGGGUGAGUAACGCGUAGGUAACCUGCCUGGUAGCGGGGGAUAACUAUUGGAAACGAUAGCUAAUACCGCAUAAGAGUAGAUGUCGCAUGACAUUUGCUUAAAAGGUGCAAUUGCAUCACUACCAGAUGGACCUGCGUUGUAUUAGCUAGUUGGUGAGGUAACGGCUCACCAAGGCAACGAUACAUAGCCGACCUGAGAGGGUGAUCGGCCAAACUGGGAAUGAGAAAAGGCCCAGACUCCUACGGGAGGCAGCAGUAGGGAAGCUUCGGCAAUGGACGGAAGUCUGACCGAGCAACGCCGCGUGAGUGAAGAAGGGUUUCGGAUCGUAAAGCUCUGUUGUAAGAGAAGAACGAGUGUGAGAGUGGAAAGUUCACACUGUGACGGUAUCUUACCAGAAAGGGACGGCUAACUACGUG
rnacentral:rRNA from 1 species